CCUGGAGACUCCUACGGGAGGCAGCAGUGAGGAAUAUUGGACAAUGGUCGGAAGACUGAUCCAGCCAUGCCGCGUGCAGGAUGAAGGUCCUAUGGAUUGUAAACUGCUUUUGUAAGGGAAGAGUAAGGAGUACGUGUACUUUGAUGACGGUACCUUACGAAUAAGCAUCGGCUAACUCCGUGCCAGCAGCCGCGGUAAUACGGAGGAUGCGAGCGUUAUCCGGAAUCAUUGGGUUUAAAGGGUCCGUAGGCGGGCUGAUAAGUCAGAGGUGAAAUCGUUCAGCUCAACUGAGCAACUGCCUUUGAAACUGUCAGUCUUGAAUGAUUGUGAAGUAGUUGGAAUGUGUAGUGUAGCGGUGAAAUGCUUAGAUAUUACACAGAACACCGAUAGCGAAGGCAUAUUACUAACAAUUUAUUGACGCUGAUGGACGAAAGCGUGGGGAGCGAACAGGAUUAGAAACCCCGGUAGUCCAGAGAA
rnacentral:rRNA from 1 species